UAAGACUUGGGUUCCACUUCUGCUGCUGCAUUUUCUUCUCAUCCAUUGGGCAUUGACAGAGAGAAAUUGAGAAGGAGUGGGGGAGAUAAAGAAGGACAGAGGAAGAAAGACACCUGCUUCAUUGCUGUUGAAGCUUCACAGCUGCAGGUGGAGAUCAGAGGCUUGAACCUGGGCCCUUGCACAUGGUGACCUGUACAUUCAACCAGGUGUGCCACCACCUGGCACCAAAAGGAUUUAUCUUAAAUGAAGGAAGAUUGAGAUCUAGAAACUUCCAA